UACGAAGGGGGCUAGCGUUGCUCGGAAUCACUGGGCGUAAAGCGCACGUAGGCGGCUUUUUAAGUCAGGGGUGAAAUCCUGGAGCUCAACUCCAGAACUGCCUUUGAUACUGGGAAGCUUGAGUCCGGGAGAGGUGAGUGGAACUCCGAGUGUAGAGGUGAAAUUCGUAGAUAUUCGGAAGAACACCAGUGGCGAAGGCGGCUCACUGGCCCGUUACUGACGCUGAGGCACGAAAGCGUGGGGAGCAAACAGG
rnacentral:rRNA from 1 species